GAUGAACGCUGGCGGCGUGCCUAAUACAUGCAAGUCGAGCGAACGGACGAGAAGCUUGCUUCUCUGAUGUUAGCGGCGGACGGGUGAGUAACACGUGGAUAACCUACCUAUAAGACUGGGAUAACUUCGGGAAACCGGAGCUAAUACCGGAUAAUAUUUUGAACCGCAUGGUUCAAAAGUGAAAGACGGUCUUGCUGUCACUUAUAGAUGGGUCCGCGCUGCAUUAGCUAGUUGGUAAGGUAACGGCUUACCAAGGCAACGAUGCAUAGCCGACCUGAGAGGGGGAACGGCCACACUGGAACUGAGACACGGUCCAGACUCCUAAGGGAGGCAGCAGUAGGGAAUCUUCCGCAAUGGGCGAAAGCCUGACGGAGCAACGCCGCGUGAGUGAUGAAGGUCUUCGGAUCGUAAAACUCUGUUAUUAGGGAAGAACAUAUGUGUAAGUAACUGUGCACAUCUUGACGGUACCUAAUCAGAAAGCCACGGCUAACUACGUG
rnacentral:rRNA from 1 species